rnacentral:lncRNA from 10 species
GUUUUGCUAGCAGAAAAUACGACUCUCUUCUAUGCUGUGGUAAAAUAGUACAACCACAAGGCCAGGAUCCAUAGAAUGUGACCAGCUGUUUCAGUGGUUUUCUGUUACUAUUUGUGAAGUCUUCAUUCUUGUCAUCUCUAGCAGAAGAGUGGUGCCAGUUGCCAGAGGUUUGAGGAAAAAGAAGUCAUGGGAGAAUUUACAUUUCAGAAAAUUCCAUUCAUUGACUUAAUUAUUUCUGGGAAUUCAGAAAAGACCACCAUGAUCCUUUAGCCGCGAAAACACUUGGGCCAGUUUUGGAAAUGCUAGAAUCCUGCAGGAGAAGCUUUUGAGAAAUUCAGUACUGUGCAGUGUUGUAACCCGAAUACUUUGCUGGAGAAAGGGUUACUGAGAGAUCAUAUUCACAAAUCAACGUGCAAUAGUGAAAAAAGAUGGCAACACUGAAGAACCUUACUGAAUAACCCAGUAUGGACCACGUAUUGUAAUAGGCACUUAAUUUCUCUCAAUCCUUUCGAUAUCUCCUUGAAAUAGGUACUAUUAGCCCUCAAUUUACAGAUAAGAAAACUGAGGCUGAG